rnacentral:rRNA from 1 species
ACGGGUGGCAGCAGUCGAGAAUUUUUCUCAAUGGGGGAAACCCUGAAGGAGCGACGCCGCGUGGGGGAUGAAUGGCUUCGGCCCGUAAACCCCUGUCAUUCGGGACCAAAUGUUGUUCAUGAAUAAUGGGCAGCUUGAUUGUACCGGAAGAGGAAGGGACGGCUAACUCUGUGCCAGCAGCCGCGGUAAUACAGAGGUCCCAAGCGUUGUUCGGAUUUACUGGGCGUAAAGGGUGCGUAGGCGGUGGGGUAAGUUUGAGGUGAAAGCUCCGGGCUCAACCCGGAAACUGCCUUGAAUACUAUCCCGCUAGAGGGUUGGAGGGGAGACUGGAAUUCUCGGUGUAGCAGUGAAAUGCGUAGAUCUCGAGAGGAACACCAGUGGCGAAGGCGAGUCUCUGGACAACACCUGACGCUGAGGCACGAAAGCCAGGGGAGCAAACGGGAUUAGAUACCCCGGUAGUCCUGGCCCUAAACGGUGCGUACUUGCUGUAAACGGAUUCGACCCCGCUUGUGGCGCAGUUAACACGAUAAGUACGC